GGGUGAGUAACACGUGAGCAACCUGCCCCAAGCUUUGGGAUAACCCUCGGAAACGGGGGCUAAUACCGAAUAGGACUGCUGGCCGCAUGGCUGGUGGUGGAAAGUUUUUCGGCUUGGGAUGGGCUCGCGGCCUAUCAGCUUGUUGGUGGGGUGAUGGCCUACCAAGGCGACGACGGGUAGCCGGCCUGAGAGGGCGACCGGCCACACUGGGACUGAGACACGGCCCAGACUCCUACGGGAGGCAGCAGUGGGGAAUAUUGCACAAUGGGCGGAAGCCUGAUGCAGCGACGCCGCGUGAGGGAUGACGGCCUUCGGGUUGUAAACCUCUUUCAGCAGGGACGAAGCGAGAGUGACGGUACCUGCAGAAGAAGCACCGGCCAACUACGUGCCAGCAGCCGCGGUAAGACGUAGGGUGCGAGCGUUGUCCGGAUUUAUUGGGCGUAAAGAGCUCGUAGGCGGCUUGUCGCGUCGACCGUGAAAACUUGGGGCUCAACCCCAAGCCUGCGGUCGAUACGGGCAGGCUAGAGUUCGGUAGGGGAGACUGGAAUUCCUGGUGUAGCGGUGAAAUGCGCAGAUAUCAGGAGGAACACCGGUGGCGAAGGCGGGUCUCUGGGCCGAUACUGACGCUGAGGAGCGAAAGCGUGGGGAGCGAACAGGAUUAGAUACCCUGGUAGUCCACGCUGUAAACGUUGGGCGCUAGGUGUGGGGGGCCUCUCCGGUUCCCUGUGCCGCAGCUAACGCAGUAAGCGCCCCGCCUGGGGGAGUACGGCCGCAAGGGCUAAGACUCAAAGGAAUUGACGGGGGCCCGCACAAGCG
rnacentral:rRNA from 1 species